GAAACACUUUCUAAAAAAAAGGAGGAGAGUUGAGAUCUGGAUGGAAGGUGCAGACUCAUCUCUCCAGGACCAUCAGCACAAACAAUCACGCUUCAUCUGGAAACCUCCACACUGUUGGUCCUCUGAGAAGAGCAGUUCCACAGAAGCCACAAGUUCUGCAGGGAUUAAAGUGACUUCAC